rnacentral:rRNA from 1 species
GACGAACGCUGGCGGCGUGCUUAACACAUGCAAGUCGAACGGGAACCUUUAUUUCGGUAAAGGUGAGAGUGGCAAACGGGUGAGUAACACGUAGGCAACCUGCCGACAGGAUGGGGACAACAUUCCGAAAGGAAUGCUAAUACCGAAUGGAGUCUGAGGAUGGCAUCAUCCUUGGAUAAAAGAUGGCCUCUGAAUAUGCUAUCGCCUGUCGAUGGGCCUGCGUCUGAUUAGCCAGUUGGCGGGGUAACGGCCCACCAAAGCGACGAUCAGUAGCCGGUCUGAGAGGAUGAACGGCCACAUUGGGACUGAGACACGGCCCAGACUCCUACGGGAGGCAGCAGUGGGGAAUCUUCCACAAUGGGCGAAAGCCUGAUGGAGCAACGCCGCGUGAGUGAAGAAGGUCUUCGGAUCGUAAAGCUCUGUUGCACGGGACGAAAACUGGGUUUGAAAACAUUGAACCUGGGGACGUACCGAGCGAGGAGCC